UAUAAGGGAUUUUGAGUUGUUGCUUGCAACGUUUGACCGCUCGUCUUAUUCAAAUUUUUUUAAAAUUAUUAUUUAUUUUAUUUGUAACUUACUUUAUUAUCCACGGUACUUUAAGCACAACUUUUUGUCUUUCAUAUUUGAAAAAAAAAUUUGAAUAAGACGAGUGAUCAAAAGUUGCAAACAAAAACUCAAAAUCCCUUGUAUU
rfam:Oryza glaberrima chromosome 7 Oglab07_unplaced159_9, whole genome shotgun sequence.